CUCUUUGCGAGGCUGAGUACCCAGAGGAAGAUGCCUCUGCUGUGCUCCAAGCCAUCCAGGUGGAGAACGCAGCCCUGCAGAGGGCGCUCCUCAGCAGAAAGGCCGAGCAGCCAGCCAGCCCACUGCAGGAUGCAGAAGGACCACCAGCAAAACCAUGGACCAGUCUGCUGGAGGAGAAGGAAGAGACCCUUGAGACAACAGCAGAAGCUUCUGAAAGUCCUCC
rnacentral:lncRNA from 1 species